GUCUCAAACUGAGUUUCAAG
rnacentral:snRNA from 1 species